rnacentral:tRNA from 1 species
CCUUCGAUAGCUAAGUUGGUAGAGCGGUGGACUGUAGCAAUCCAUAGGUCACUGGUUCAAAUCCGGUUCGAAGGA